rnacentral:rRNA from 1 species
GCAUACGGUCAUACUCGUUAGCACACGCAGGCGAACCCAUUUCGAAUUCGCAACUUAAGCGCACGUAGGCUCGGUCAGUACUAAGAUGAGGGAUCUCUUGGGAACCCCGAGUGCUGUAUGC